rnacentral:tRNA from 1 species
UAGCCUAUAUCUCAAUGGCAGAGAACCUCAUUGAUAAUGGGGCUAUACAGGUUCGACUCCCGUUAGGCUAA